ensembl:lncRNA H19 H19 imprinted maternally expressed transcript
GAGAUAAUCUGCUAAUGUGGGUGCAGCAGACAUCCCGCGGUUUGUGGAAUCGAUAAAGGAUGGGGAUCAAUGGUGUUUGUGCACUGUGCGGUCUGUGCCCAAUUGCCUGCCUUGUGCUGUGGAAUCUGUACAUCUGGCCAACAUGUGCUUGUGUGAGCCUGACAGUGCAUUUUCCAGAGCCUCACCUCGGCUCUGCCCUGGAGGCUCUGUGCUGCUGGAAUCAGACUCAAGGACCUCAUCAGAGGACCAUGGCCCCGUAUCACCUGGGUCAGGCACUGAAGCUGGGACAGGAGAGCAGAGACUUCCAAAAUGAGGGAUCCCUGUGUUCUGAGGUGAUCAUGACUGGGACCCAAGGACUCAAGCGCAUGCUCCAGAGGGAAUCGUUUCCCACAAGGCCUUUGGCAGGAACAGGGAUCCUGGGAGCCUGCCAAGCAGAGCGCACAGUGUUCCUGGAGUCUCGCUGCCCAGAUGCCACGGAAUCAGUUGAAGGACGUGGCAGCUGGUUGGACGAGGGGAGCUGGUGGGCAGGGUUUGAUCCCAGGGCCUGGGCAACGGAGGUGUAGCUGGCAGCAGCGGGCAGGUGAGGACCCCAUCUGCCGGGCAGCCAGGUCUCCAGCUGGGGUGGACGUGCCCACCAGCUGCCGAAGGCCAAGACGCCAGGUCCGGUGGACGUGACAAGCAGGACAUGACAUGGUCCGGUGUGACGGCGAGGACAGAGGAGGCGCGUCCGGCCUUCCUGGUGAGCGUGUCUGCCCUCCCUGCGUCAGGACGCGGCCCUGCCCAGACCGCCCCGCCGGGCCACCAUCUCACUGCCCCGACCUCUGUCUUCUACAGAACACCUUAGGCUGGUGGGGCUGCGGCAAGAAGCGGGUCUGUUUCUUUACUUCCUCCACGGAGUCGGCACACUAUGGCUGCCCUCUGGGCUCCCAGAACCCACAACAUGAAAGAAAUGGUGCUACCCAGCUCAAGCCUGGGCCUUUGAAUCCGGACACAAAACCCUCUAGCUUGGAAAUGAAUAUGCUGCACUUUACAACCACUGCACUACCUGACUCAGGAAUCGGCUCUGGAAGGUGAAGCUAGAGGAACCAGACCUCAUCAGCCCAACAUCAAAGACACCAUCGGAACAGCAGCGCCCGCAGCACCCACCCCGCACCGGCGACUCCAUCUUCAUGGCCACCCCCUGCGGCGGACGGUUGACCACCAGCCACCACAUCAUCCCAGAGCUGAGCUCCUCCAGCGGGAUGACGCCGUCCCCACCACCUCCCUCUUCUUCUUUUUCAUCCUUCUGUCUCUUUGUUUCUGAGCUUUCCUGUCUUUCCUUUUUUCUGAGAGAUUCAAAGCCUCCACGACUCUGUUUCCCCCGUCCCUUCUGAAUUUAAUUUGCACUAAGUCAUUUGCACUGGUUGGAGUUGUGGAGACGGCCUUGAGUCUCAGUACGAGUGUGCGUGAGUGUGAGCCACCUUGGCAAGUGCCUGUGCAGGGCCCGGCCGCCCUCCAUCUGGGCCGGGUGACUGGGCGCCGGCUGUGUGCCCGAGGCCUCACCCUGCCCUCGCCUAGUCUGGAAGCUCCGACCGACAUCACGGAGCAGCCUUCAAGCAUUCCAUUACGCCCCAUCUCGCUCUGUGCCCCUCCCCACCAGGGCUUCAGCAGGAGCCCUGGACUCAUCAUCAAUAAACACUGUUACAGCAA